UGCCCAUUCAUCCAUGGGUGGGGAUUUGUUGCAUUACUUGUAUUAUAUGUAAAGUAUUGCACUUGUCCCGGCCUGUGGAAGAAAGGAGGAUU
ensembl:miRNA microRNA 92a-2